CCCAAAUGCAGUAGACACGGCAGUUAUCCGUGCAGGAGGGGCAGAGGAUGUACGGGAGAGGCCACGGUGGGCCCUGUGCGAUCAAACCCACACGACAGCACAUUCUAUGAGGACGGGGGAGCAGGCAGCCGCCUGGUGGUGCAAGGAGAGGGGACCAUGCAGAGGCAGCAGUGCCCAGCCAGGACUGGAGACACUCAUCGAGGGGGCCUCGGGCUCCAGUGGACAUACAUCCUUCAACAAACCUUUGAUUAAGCUGGUGGUGGCCACGUGACCUCCGUGGGCAGCCGGCCGGCCGUCCAGACUUCUCGUUCUGUGAGAAAAAUAAAAAGGUGGCCAACGGUCAAGUCUUCCUUGCUCGCUGCUGCAGCUGGACAUGUUCCCAACAGAUUCAGGGGUCAAGGGCGGUCCCUGAGCCCAGAGACAGCAGGGGGCUGGAGAGUUACCCAAAGUACUGGAGAGGUGGGGGCCAGCAAGGUGGGUGGGUGCUGACCCCGGCUUGGAGGCCGGGGGGGGCAGGGGUGGACAGGGCACCCACGGGCCUCUCUGCGGGGGUCGGAAGGAGGGGGUCGUGCUGGGGCGGCUGGAUCUGACCACCUAGUGUCCAUGGUACACGCAGCACCCUAGGAGGGAAGCGUCUGUAAAAGCCUGAGUGUUUUGAUCUGGGAAAACAGCUCAAAUUGUUGGUUUAUGAGGACUGGAACUUCCCAACAGCCAGGCCAGGAAAGUCCUUAUAGCAACAGAACACCACACCCCACAGGUCCCCUCCCCUCCCAGGAUUCUGUGUGUACUGAACACGUACGGAUCUCAAACCUUCAGCCAGCUCUCUUGCACAUUCUCCCCUGAACCUCUCCCAUAAAGCGCUAGACAUCCAUCUCGGGGCUGAGAGGUCAGUUGUUAAGGCUCGAGACCGCUACCUGCCCCCCGCGGUCGACACCCGAAAUAAAUCUCUCCUUUUCUCUCUUCCAAA